rnacentral:rRNA from 1 species
UUCCAGACUCCUACGGGAGGCAGCAGUGGGGAAUAUUGCACAAUGGGGGAAACCCUGAUGCAGCGACGCCGCGUGAGUGAAGAAGUAUUUCGGUAUGUAAAGCUCUAUCAGCAGGGAAGAUAAUGACGGUACCUGAGUAAGAAGCCCCGGCUAACUACGUGCCAGCAGCCGCGGUAAUACGUAGGGGGCAAGCGUUAUCCGGAUUUACUGGGUGUAAAGGGAGCGUAGACGGCAUGGCAAGUCUGAAGUGAAAGCCCGGGGCUCAACCGCGGGACUGCUUUGGAAACUGUUAAGCUGGAGUGCAGGAGAGGUAAGUGGAAUUCCUAGUGCAGCGGUGAAAUGCGUAGAUAUUAGGAGGAACACCAGUGGCGAAGGCGGCUUACUGGACUGUAACUGACGUUGAGGCUCGAAAGCGUGGGGAGCAAACAGGAUUAGAUACCCCUGUAG